CUCUCCUUUUCCUCUUAUCAGUCCUCCUGCUGGCCUUACUGGUAGCCCAGAACCUGGCAAGCAGUCAGUUGACCCCUGCUCCUGUCCAGAUAUGCCACAACUUCCACUGCCUCGGAGAGAUGUGCUACCAGGAGGAAAAGUUCUCCAACCAGACCACAGAGUGUUAGCCCGGGCAGCACCACUGCGAG